rnacentral:rRNA from 1 species
UAGGUAACCUGCCUGGUAGCGGGGGAUAACUAUUGGAAACGAUAGCUAAUACCGCAUAACAGUAGAUAUCGCAUGAUAGCUGCUUGAAAGGUGCAAUUGCACCACUACCAGAUGGACCUGCGUUGUAUUAGCUAGUUGGUGAGGUAACGGCUCACCAAGGCCACGAUACAUAGCCGACCUGAGAGGGUGAUCGGCCACACUGGGACUGAGACACGGCCCAGACUCCUACGGGAGGCAGCAUG